AUUGAACGCUGGCGGCAUGCUUUACACAUGCAAGUCGAACGGUAACAGGCCGCAAGGUGCUGACGAGUGGCGAACGGGUGAGUAAUGCAUCGGAACGUGCCCAGUCGUGGGGGAUAACGCAGCGAAAGCUGCGCUAAUACCGCAUACGAUCUAUGGAUGAAAGCGGGGGACCGAAAGGCCUCGCGCGAUUGGAGCGGCCGAUGUCAGAUUAGGUAGUUGGUGGGGUAAAGGCUCCCCAAGCCGACGAUCUGUAGCUGGUCUGAGAGGACGACCAGCCCCACGGGGACUGGGACACGGCCGAGACUCCUACGGGAGGCAGCGGUGGGGAAUUUUGGACAAUGGGCGCAAGCCUGAUCCAGCAAUGCCGCGUGCAGGAAGAAGGCCUUCGGGUUGUAAACUGCUUUUGUACGGAACGAAAAGGCUCUGGUUAAUACCUGGGGCUCAUGACGGUACCGUAAGAAUAAGCACCGGCUAACUACGUGCCAGCCGCCGCCGUAACAC
rnacentral:rRNA from 1 species